AUCUACACCGCUGAAUCCUAUGCUAUAACCAUGUGAAGACCUCAGCUGACCAGGGACCAGAGAUGCACCAGGGACCAAAGAGCAGAGAUGCUCUCAUAAAUAUAACCUUUCAGGUAUUUCCACACUGGCAGAAUCUGGCAGACAGCUCUGCUUUUCCAUCUACAGCCACUGUCUGCAACCUGCAGCCGCUGCCUCCACAUGCAGAUUUUGGGAGAGAAAUGUGGCCAAUACUUCAUCUACAGCAAUCUAUACUGCUGAAUCCUGACCUAUACAUAUGUGAAGACCUCAGCUGACCAGGGACCAGAGAUGCACCAGGGACCAAAGGGCAGAGAUGCACUAAUAAAUGCAACCUUUCAGAUUCUGGCAGACAGCUUACCUCCUCAAUCUACAGCCUCUGUCAGGAACCUGCAGCCACCACCUCCACCUGCAGAUUCUGUCAGACAGCUUAGCCAAACCUCCACCUAGAGCCUCUAAGGGCACAAGUAUACUGGCUGCGUGGCCAAAUGUACGUGUACAUAGUGUGCUGCGCCUGUGUGUAUACCUCCUGCAGCACAGUCAUUCGUCAGCGCAGCCAAAUCGCCUGACACUUGUGGUCUCUGCUAGGAGCAGACCACAGCACUCAGACACAGAGGUCGCGAAAAGCGAAGCAGGCGGUGACACUGAAUUUCCGGAUGUAGUAGGCUAUACACAAACAUGGAUACUCUCGAUGAAGAGGAGAUUAUAAUUUUAUGUCUUUUAAGAUCUCGGCAGAGGAAAAGGCAUCGUCUCCGGCCCCUAAACCAAUCAUAUGGAGAGUUUGUUUCUCUCGUCGUCAAUGAGGAAAAACACAGGGAAUAUUUCCGCAUGUCGGUUGGUGCUUUCGACGAGCUCCUGUCACUUAUUGAACCGCACAUACAGCAUUGCAACACGCACACCAAGCCCAUAUCACCGGCUGAAUGUCUUGCAGUCACUCUGCUUUUCCUGGCCACAGGGAUGAGCUUCACAGCACUGUCUGCAAGCUGCAAACUGGGAGCAAAGACUGUCAGGGGAUCAUCAAAGAGGUCUGUCAGGCAAUAUGGACCGCUCUACAGAAUGACUAUGUGGCCUACCCGAGGGAAUCCGAAUGGAGGAAGAACAUGUUCAGAUUCAUGCCCCAGCCAACAGUGGAAGUAGUUUCUACAAUUACAAAGGCUACUUCAGUUUUGUGCUUAUGGCUGUCUGUGAUGUCCGCUACAAAUUCACUGUUGUGGACAUUGGUGUUUACGGCCGUGAUAGUGAUGCAGGGGUGGUUUCCAGGUCAGAGUUUGGAUCAAAACUCAUUCAGGGCGAGCUGUCUCUGCCACCUCCAACUGUCCUACCUGGGAGUGAGGUAACCUGCCCCCCUGUUUUUGUUGCUGACGAGGCCUUCCCCCUAAAAAUCAACCUGAUGCGGCCAGUUGAAAAAUAAUUUAUUUUAUAUGUUUAUCCUGAUGCAGCAAAAUCAUAUCGAUACCGGAUUGCCUUCCAUGUUUUUUUGGGCAGUCACACCGUCAAUCCCCAAAACCCCCCCAAUCUGUCGCCAGCUAUUAGCACAUGCAUACUUGUCACUAUGCAUGGGCGAGGAGGUAUCACAGAUGCCUGUAAUUGCGGACAAGGUCUGACAGCCUUUCUUCGAAACUAUUGUCCGCCAUUGUAAUGACCUCUGACCUCACGUUCACGGUCUCUAGAGGUCUACUUUGCACGAGCGCCUCUAGUGUUCAUGUCAAUAUUGCAUCUUGCGCAUGCAUCACAUUACCUCACGUCAAAGUGAGCAGCCUAUGCGCCAAAUGACUGCAAAAUACGCAUGGCAGCCAUGAUGCGUACGCACACGUGUUGUCUGCAGCAAGUAUACUUCUCCUCUAACUAGAGCCUCUGUCUGCUGUCUGCUGUUGUUGCAGGUUUGGCCAAGUCUUCAUUCACAGCAUCAUCCAGCAACCUACACUGCUGAAGCCAUUAGUGUAAUUACAAAAAUUACCCAGUGAUUAAAUAGUAAAGUGCAUCACUUCCGAAAUCACCAGAGUUGUAGUUAACUGGCCUCUACAUGCACAGCAACAGCACUCAUCCUUACACACAUAAACACAGCACUGACUGCAGUAUUGAUUUGCUGCAUCAGGAUAAACAUAUACCAAUAAAUAUUUUAUUUAAAACUUUUUCAGAAAGAAAAGAGAGAAACAUUGUAGCAGUUAAAAAAAUGGAACAUUAACCUUCUCCCAUCCCUCCUUACAGAUGUAAGACAGAAAGAAACUAAAGUAAAAAAAAAAAAAAAAGCGUACUCCUCUUUAUAGGUUUCUAUGGACAUCUGUUUAUGGUUCAAAUCAUAAUGUUAAUUUACUUUAUAAACUUCCUGGUAGAAAAUCCUCACUUCAUUUCCAUAAAAUCAAACAGCGCUAAGCAAACGCCACCUCGAUUAGUUGGAUUUUAGCCAGCUAACAGGGGGCGAGGUUAAAAUUAUAAGCGGGUGGGACUUCAAUCAGAAGUGGGUGGAACCUGGGUGCAUGAGCAAAGUGGGGCUUUUAAAGCCUGGCGCAUGGUAUGUGUUGGUGUGUCUUAAAGAUUAUUAAUGUUUCCACGUCAAUUACCCCAGAUGGGGAUAAAUCCCAUAGUUAUGAUAUUACUACUGGGUGUGGAGAUAAUCUCCUCACUCAGAGAACCAAGGUUACAAAGUAACCUAACAAUAUCCUCUGACAUAGUACCCGAGUGUUAUGGGGUGAGUGCAGUGUAAAUUUUGCUUUAAGCUGGGCAAAUUAUCAGAUUGCAUGAUCAGUGUACAGUUCAUUGAUGGCAAAAAGACCGUUCCAUCUCCAGGUCGAAAAAACAGCAUCUAGCUCUGAAGGAGGAAAAACAUGAUUACAAAAACAGGGAUUAAAAGGGAGCCUUCGAUGACAUGAAAAGUAUUUGUAUUUGAUACAGCACCUUUACUGAGUUUUUGACUUUAAAAUUGGUCCGUUUAAAUGAUCCAGUAAGUUUAUUUGCUGCACGGAGUAGCACUGGGACAGAAGUAACAUUCACCAUUCUAAUUUACAAAUUCAAGGGUCAUAUUUUGCCCUUAGGUCUGAUUGCAUCUAAUUAGCAGUAAUGAUUCCUGUGUGCCUCCUGUAAUUAAAUUAUGGGGAGUGGAUAACAAAUUUAUCCACAGCCUACUGCUCAGUCAUUCCAACCUGGCGAUGAUUAGGUGUUGAUUUCAGCCUCAGGGUGCACAAAGAAAGGUUCAGAGUGUACAGAUGUGCCCUCAACUGCCCCAGGUUAGGAUACAACACAGAGGAACAGUCGUUUCUCCUCUGCCUACAUCUUUAAUUGCAUUAAACUGAGCCUGAGUCAUGCUGAGGGAGCUGGAGUGCCAGUAGUGGGACUAUGGACAGAUGCAAAUGCUGCUCAUGCAGAUAUAUUCCAAAAACAGUUCCUCUUACUUGAGGGACAGGGCCAGCUAGCUCAGUGAGCUAAGGUCGGGGACAUACCAGCUCCCAAGCACAAGAUAUUAUCUGUUGUUGUUACCAUGUCUUUCUAAGGUCAUGGUUGAAUCUAUGCAAGAGAUUUUCAAUUUAAACUAAAUUAACUUCAAAGUGUGAUGUAAAUGGAUCGAGCUACAACAACUUCAACAGCUAUUGAUCUAUCAGUCUUAACGUUCACUCUCACUGCCCGAUGCGGAAAUGCGGAACGGAUUUGCAGAAUAUUCGCGCAGUGCAUCUCCACGUUUAAACCAUACACACAAGCGCGGUACAGACGUGGUGUGGAAUUUCACGUUGUUGUGUUCCAAGUCCGCGCAGUGUGAACAGGUGUGACUGAACAUGGACGAGAGUAGCAGCAGCAGCAGCAGCUAACGUUAACUUAGCUAGCACUAGCUAGCUAGCUAGCAAGCUAACGUUUAACAAGCGUCAACAUCAACUGUCUUUAGCACUUACCACUCUCACCGCAGCCACCAUGCUGGAAAAUAGAGACAGAGCACAACGUGUCAUAAUCUGAAAGCCACGCCCCCAAAGGGGAAACGAGGCCCGCUUUCCCCUCACACUUUCCCCCUCCGUUUCCAGCCUGUUGAGUUUUCCCUAAGUCCAAAUGCCGAAAAGUUGCUGUGUGCUGGGCUGCUUGGUCAAUAAGGCUAAAAACCCAGAGCUUAGCUUUUAUCAGCUGCUGAGCAGAAAAAUGUAACCUUGUCAAAGACAAAAGUGCACAGGCAAUAAAAGGCCCAAUUGGGGGACUUUAACAAGUCCUCUGAGGCAAAUUGUUAUGCGUGAUAUUGGGCUUUAGAAAUAAAAUUGAUCGAUUGAUUGAUUGAAUAUUUCUCACUGAACAAAGCCCAGGGGACAUUGAAAAAUGAUUAAAGUAGUAAUAUGCCCUGUGACUACCAUGCAAUGCCAUGUGUGUAAAUCCUUGUUUUUUGCUUCUUACAAUCUAAAGAUGCCAUUUUGUCUCCUGGAGUAAAGCAGCUUGCCAGUAAAAUCUGUGUGUAUCUACAAGACGUUACAAGAUCAGUGGACAAGGCAAUAACAAUAUGCACAGUUUGUCUACCUAGUCCACAUUACAUUUUGUAAAAUAUCUAUGUCAUCACCACAGGCUGAGGUCACCAUCACAACAAAAGCUGCAACAUACACAGCAAUAACAACAGAAACACGCUGCCAAUUCGUGACUCUCCUGAUUGCCUGAAAGCAUGAAAAAGCAAAAUAUCAUGAAA